AUGUUGGCAUGUAGGAUUCAAAAGGAACUACAGGAGCUAGGCCAGGGUGAGAAGACUGUUGUGGAAUAUGUGUCAGAAUUGAAAAGGUUGUGGAGUGAUCUUGAUUACUAUGAUCCAGUUGAGAUGGAAUGUGGGAAAUGUGUUGAGAAACAUAGUAAAUGGACUGAAAGAAGGCGUCUUAGGGACUUCUUAAAUGGUCUUCAUCCUAAGUUCGAGAAUAGGAGAGCAGCACUUUAUGGUAGUGAGAAGUUGCCCAGUCUAGAGCAAGCAAUUGCUGCAAUUAUAAGCGAGGAAACUCGGUUGAAAUUGGAGACAACAUGA
rnacentral:rRNA from 1 species